rnacentral:rRNA from 1 species
AGAGUUUGAUCCUGGCUCAGAACGAACGCUGGUAGCGUGGAUUAGGCAUGCAAGUCGAACGGGAUCCGGGAGGUAGCAAUAUCGACCGGUGAGAGUGGCGGAUUGGGGAGGAACACGUGAGCAACCUGCCCUUGAGUUGGGGAAAACCGUUGGAAACGACGGCUAAUACCGGAUGUGGCGCCCGGUGACAUCGCCGGAGCGCUAAAGGGGGCCGCAAGGCUCCCGCUCGUGGAGGGGCUCGCGCAUCAUCAGCUUGUUGGCGGGGUAACGGCCCACCAAGGCUUACGAUUAGCUGGUCUGAGAGGAUGACCAGCCCCACUGGGACUGAGAUACUGCCCAGACUCCUACGGGAGGCUGCAGUCGAGGAUCAUUUGCAAUGGGCGAAAGCCUGACAAUGCGACGCUGCGUGGAGGAUGAAGGCCUUCGGGUUGUAAACUCCUGUCAUAGGGGAACAGGCGAUCCGACCCAACACGUCGGUGAGUUGAGUGUACCCUAAGAGGAAUUGGCGGCUAACUCUGUGCCAGCAGCCGCGGUAAUACAGAGGCCAAGAGCGUUGUUCGGAUUUACUGGGCGUAAAGGGCGCGUAGGCGGCGAAGUGUGUCGGAUGUGAAAUCUCCGGGCCCAACCCGGAAAGUGCGUCCGAAACUGCUUUGCUCGAGUGCGGGAGGGGGAAUCGGAAUAUAGGGUGUAGCGGUGAAAUGCGUUGAUAUCCUAUAGAACACCGGAGGCGAAGGCGGAUUUCCUUGAACGCAAACUGACGCUGAGGCGCGAAAGUCGGGGGAGCACACAGAAGGAGAUACCCUGGUAGUCCCGACCUUAAA